rnacentral:rRNA from 1 species
AUUGAACGCUGGCGGCAUGCCUAACACAUGCAAGUCGAGCGGUCGACGGGAGGUUGCUCCCUGAGUCAGCGGCGGACGGGUGAGCAAUGCCCAGGUAUCUGCCUAUGAGUGGGGGACAACGGUUCGAACGGAACGCUAAUACCGCAUACGGCCUACGGGGAAAUGCCGGGGGCCUUCGCGUCUUGGGCUAAUAGAUGAGCCUAGGUCGGAUUAGUUUGUUGGUGAGGUGAUGGCUCACCAAGGCGACGAUCCGUAACUGGUCUGAGAGGAUGAUCAGGCACACUGGAACUGAGACACGGUCCAGACUCCUACGGGAGGCAGCAGUGGGGAAUAUUGGACAAUGGGCGAAAGCCUGAUCCAGCCAUGCCGCGUGUGUGAAGAAGGUCUUCGGAUUGUAAAGCACUUUAAGUUGGGAGGAAGGGUUGUAGAUUAAUACUCUGCAAUUUUGACGUUACCGACAGAAUAAGCACCGGCUAACUCUGUGCCAGCCGCCGCCGUAA